rnacentral:misc_RNA from 1 species
UUUCCGUAGGUGAACCUGCGGAAGGAUCAUUAACAAAUUCAACAACAAAACACUUGUGAACCCGUCAGAUUAUUAUUAUAUCAUCCAUCUAUCUAUCUAUCAUAUUUAGCUAGCAGGGCAUGGUAUGGUGGUGGGGUGGUAUGGUGGGUGCUAUGGUGGGUGGUAGGGUGGGUGCUAUGGUGGGUGCUAUGGUGGGUGAUGAUAUGCAAUCAAUCGAUGCGCAUGCAUCUACCUACUACCACCUACACUUAUUUACCUACCUGUCUACUUGGCUACGCGGUGCGCCCCAUUUAGGUGCUAUCGUCCGUCACCAUUGUCAUCGGUUAUCUAUUAUGGUAUGACGUGAUGUGAUGGAUGGGAUAUUAAUAAUAAAUAAUAAAUAGACUCUUAUGAUGACUGAGAUGAUAUGUACAAUCAAAAGUAAUUAAAACAACUUUUAACAAUGGAUCUCUUGGCUCUU